UACGUAGGCAGCAAGCGUUGUUCGGAGUUACUGGGCGUAAAGAGUGCGUAGGUGGUGCCCUAAGUCUGUUGUGAAAUCUCCCGGCUUAACUGGGAGGGUGCGCCGAAUACUGAGUGACUAGAGUGCGGGAGAGGAAAGUGGAAUUCCUGGUGUAGCGGUGAAAUGCGUAGAUAUCAGGAGGAACAUCGGUGGUGUAGACGGCUUUCUGGACCGUAACUGACGCUGAGACACGAAAGCGUGGGUAGCAAACAGG
rnacentral:rRNA from 1 species